rnacentral:rRNA from 1 species
UGGGGGAAUAUUGGACAAUGGGCGCAAGCCUGAUCCAGCAAUGCCGCGUGUGUGAAGAAGGCCUUCGGUUGUAAAGCACUUUUAUCAGGAGCGAAACGCUGUCGGCUAAUACCCGGCGGAACUGACGGUACCUGAGGAAUAAGCACCGGCUAACUUCGUGCCAGCAGCCGCGGUAAUACGAAGGGUGCAAGCGUUAAUCGGAAUUACUGGGCGUAAAGCGUGGCGUAGGCGGUUUCUUAAGUCUGCUGUGAAAUCCCCGGGCUCAACCUGGGAAUGGCAGUGGAUACUGGGAGGCUAGAGUGUGUCAGAGGGUGGUGGAAUUCCCGGUGUAGCGGUGAAAUGCGUAGAGAUCGGGAGGAACAUCAGUGGCGAAGGCGGCCACCUGGGACAACACUGACGCUGAGGCACGAAAGCGUGGGGAGCAAACAGGAUUAGAUA